GGAUUCCCCUAGUAACUGCGAGUGAAGCGGGAAAAGCUCAAAUUUAAAAUUUGGCGGUCUCUGGCCGUCCGAGUUGUAAUCUAGAGAAGUGCUGCCCGCGCUGGACCGUGUACAAGUCUCCUGGAAUGGAGCGUCAUAGAGGGUGAGAAUCCCGUCUUUGACACGGACUACCAGGGCUUUGUGGUACGCUCUCAAAGAGUCGAGUUGUUUGGGAAUGCAGCUCAAAAUGGGUGGUAAAUUCCAUCUAAAGCUAAAUAUUGGCGAGAGACCGAUAGCGAACAAGUACCGUGAGGGAAAGAUGAAAAGAACUUUGGAAAGAGAGUUAAACAGUACGUGAAAUUGCUGAAAGGGAAACGCUUGAAGUCAGUCGCGUUGGCCGGGGAUCAGCCUCGCUCUUUUGCGUGGUGUACUUUCCGGUCGACGGGUCAGCAUCAGUUUUGAUCGCUGGAAAAAGGCCUGAGGAAUGUGGCAGCUCCGGCUGUGUUAUAGCUUCUGGUCACAUACAGCGGUUGGGAUUGAGGAACUCAGCACGCCGCAAGGCCGGGUUUCGACCACGUUCGUGCUUAGGAUGCUGGCAUAAUGGCUUUAAGCGACCCGUCUUGAAACACGGACCAAGGAGUCUAACAUGCCUGCGAGUGUUUGGGUGGAAAACCCGAGCGCGUAAUGAAAGUGAAAGUUGAGAUCCCUGUCGCGGGGAGCAUCGACGCCCGGACCAGAACUUUUGGGACGGAUCCGCGGUAGAGCAUGUAUGUUGGGACCCGAAAGAUGGUGAACUAUGCCUGAAUAGGGUGAAGCCAGAGGAAACUCUGGUGGAGGCUCGUAGCGAUUCUGACGUGCAAAUCGAUCGUCAAAU
rnacentral:rRNA from 1 species